rnacentral:rRNA from 1 species
GAGUUUGAUUAUGGCUCAGGAUGAACGCUGGCGGCGUGCCUAACACAUGCAAGUCGAGCGCGGUUGUGCUUAGUAUUGAGUGUUUUAUUGAUAUAAAACAUUGAAUUCUAUGCACAACUGAGCGGCGGACGGGUGAGUAACGCGUGGGUAACCUGCCCUAUACACAUGGAUAACAUACUGAAAAGUUUACUAAUACAUGAUAAAAUAGUUUUUCGGCAUCGAAGAAUUAUCAAAGUGUCAGCGGUAUAGGAUGGACCCGCGUCUGAUUAGCUAGUUGGUGAGAUAACUGCCCACCAAGGCGACGAUCAGUAGCCGACCUGAGAGGGUGAUCGGCCACAUUGGAACUGAGACACGGUCCAAACUCCUACGGGAGGCAGCAGUGGGGAAUAUUGCACAAUGGGCGCAAGCCUGAUGCAGCAACGCCGCGUGAACGAUGAAGGUCUUCGGAUCGUAAAGUUCUGUUGCAGGGGAAGAUAAUGACG